UGGGGAAUUUUGGACAAUGGGGGAAACCCUGAUCCAGCCAUCCCGCGUGUGCGAUGAAGGCCUUCGGGUUGUAAAGCACUUUUGGCAGGAAAGAAACGUCAUGGGUUAAUACCCCGUGAAACUGACGGUACCUGCAGAAUAAGCACCGGCUAACUACGUGCCAGCAGCCGCGGUAAUACGUAGGGUGCAAGCGUUAAUCGGAAUUACUGGGCGUAAAGCGUGCGCAGGCGGUUCGGAAAGAAAGAUGUGAAAUCCCAGAGCUCAACUUUGGAACUGCAUUUUUAACUACCGGGCUAGAGGGUGUCAGAGGGAGGGGGAAUUCCGCGUGUAGCAGUGAAAUGCGUAGAUAUGCGGAGGAACACCGAUGGCGAAGGCAGCCUCCUGGGAUAACACUGACGCUCAUGCACGAAAGCGUGGGGAGCAAACAGG
rnacentral:rRNA from 1 species